rnacentral:rRNA from 1 species
GGAAGUUAAAAAUCGUAACAAGGUCUCCGUAGGUGAACCUGCGGAGGGAUCAUUACACAAAUAUGAAGGCGGGCUGGAACCUCUCGGGGUUACAGCCUUGCUGAAUUAUUCACCCUUGUCUUUUGCGUACUUCUUGUUUCCUUGGUGGGUUCGCCCACCACUAGGACAAACAUAAACCUUUUGUAAUUGCAAUCAGCGUCAGUAACAAAUUAAUAAUUACAACUUUCAACAACGGAUCUCUUGGUUCUGGCAUCGAUGAAGAACGCAGCGAAAUGCGAUAAGUAGUGUGAAUUGCAGAAUUCAGUGAAUCAUCGAAUCUUUGAACGCACAUUGCGCCCUUUGGUAUUCCAAAGGGCAUGCCUGUUCGAGCGUCAUUUGUACCCUCAAGCUUUGCUUGGUGUUGGGCGUCUUGUCUCUAGCUUUGCUGGAGACUCGCCUUAAAGUAAUUGGCAGCCGGCCUACUGGUUUCGGAGCGCAGCACAAGUCGCACUCUCUAUCAGCAAAGGUCUAGCAUCCAUUAAGCCUUUUUUUCAACUUUGACCUCGAUCAGUA